rnacentral:rRNA from 1 species
UACGUAGGGGGCAAGCGUUGUCCGGAUUUAUUGGGCGUAAAGAGCGUGUAGGCGGUCAGGUAGGUCCGUUGUGUAAACUCGAGGCUCAACCUCGAGACGCCGAUGGAAACCAUCUGACUAGAGUCCGGAAGAGGAGAGUGGAAUUCCUGGUGUAGCGGUGAAAUGCGCAGAUAUCAGGAAGAACACCCGUGGCUAAGGCGGCUCUCUAGUACGGUACUGACGCUGAGACGCGAAAGCGUGGGGAGCGAACAGG